rnacentral:rRNA from 1 species
CGCUAGCUACAGGCUUAACACAUGCAAGUCGAGGGGCAUCAGGAAGAAAGCUUGCUUUCUUUGCUGGCGACCGGCGCACGGGUGAGUAACACGUAUCCAACCUGCCCUUUACUCGGGGAUAGCCUUUCGAAAGAAAGAUUAAUACCCGAUAGCAUAAUGAUUCCGCAUGGUUUCAUUAUUAAAGGAUUCCGGUAAAGGAUGGGGAUGCGUUCCAUUAGGUUGUUGGUGAGGUAACGGCCCACCAAGCCUUCGAUGGAUAGGGGUUCUGAGAGGAAGGUCCCCCACAUUGGAACUGAGACACGGUCCAAACUCCUACGGGAGGCAGCAGUGAGGAAUAUUGGUCAAUGGGCGCUAGCCUGAACCAGCCAAGUAGCGUGAAGGAUGAAGGCUCUAUGGGUCGUAAACUUCUUUUAUAUAAGAAUAAAGUGCAGUAUGUAUACUGUUUUGUAUGUAUUAUAUGAAUAAGGAUCGGCUAACUCCGUGCCAGCAGCCGCGGUAAUACGGAGGAUCCGAGCGUUAUCCGGAUUUAUUGGGUUUAAAGGGAGCGUAGGUGGACUGGUAAGUCAGUUGUGAAAGUUUGCGGCUCAACCGUAAAAUUGCAGUUGAUACUGUCAGUCUUGAGUACAGUAGAGGUGGGCGGAAUUCGUGGUGUAGCGGUGAAAUGCUUAGAUAUCACGAAGAACUCCGAUUGCGAAGGCAGCUCACUGGACUGCAACUGACACUGAUGCUCGAAAGUGUGGGUAUCAAACAGGAUUAGAUACCCUGGUAGUCCACACAGUAAACGAUGAAUACUCGCUGUUUGCGAUAUACAGUAAGCGGCCAAGCGAAAGCAUUAAGUAUUCCACCUGGGGAGUACGCCGGCAACGGUGAAACUCAAAGGAGUUGACGGGGGCCCGCACAAGCGGAGGAACAUGUGGUUUAAUUCGAUGAUACGCGAGGAACCUUACCCGGGCUUAAAUUGCAGUGGAAUGAUGUGGAAACAUGUCAGUGAGCAAUCACCGCUGUGAAGGUGCUGCAUGGUUGUCGUCAGCUCGUGCCGUGAGGUGUCGGCUUAAGUGCCAUAACGAGCGCAACCCUUAUCUUCAGUUACUAACAGGUUAUGCUGAGGACUCUGGAGAGACUGCCGUCGUAAGAUGUGAGGAAGGUGGGGAUGACGUCAAAUCAGCACGGCCCUUACGUCCGGGGCUACACACGUGUUACAAUGGGGGGUACAGAAGGCAGCUACCUGGUGACAGGAUGCUAAUCCCAAAAGCCUCUCUCAGUUCGGAUCGAAGUCUGCAACCCGACUUCGUGAAGCUGGAUUCGCUAGUAAUCGCGCAUCAGCCGCGGCGCGGUGAAUACGUUCCCGGGCCUUGUACACACCGCCCGUCAAGCCAUGGGAGCCGGGGGUACCUGAAGUACGUAACCGCAAGGAUCGUCCUAGGGUAAAACUGGAA